CACGUAGGGGGCGAGCGUUGUCCGGAUUUAUUGGGCGUAAAGAGCUCGUAGGCGGCUCGGUAAGUCGGGUGUGAAACCUCCAGGCUCAACCUGGAGACGCCACCCGAUACUGUCGUGACUAGAGUCCAGUAGGGGAGCGUGGAAUUCCUGGUGUAGCGGUGAAAUGCGCAGAUAUCAGGAGGAACACCAGCGGCGAAGGCGGCGCUCUGGGCUGGAACUGACGCUGAGGAGCGAAAGCGUGGGGAGCGAACAGG
rnacentral:rRNA from 1 species